UGUGAUAGAAAAAGUAAAUAACUGAACUUCACUCAUACUGCUUCCUGUUUCCUUCUUGAUUCUUCAGGGUACACACUCUUCUUGGAUAAACCCUGACUAAUGAAGUGGCAUCAGGAAGUGCCUACGCUUCCAUAGCCCGGGAGAGCGCAGUGAAAAUGCUCAUUAACCAAGGCGGGCUGUCCUGUCCUGACCCCGAGACACUAAAGGCUCUGUUUGCAUCGGGCUCAUGGGUUUCUUCCUAGCCACUCUCAGGGACAGAAAUGCUCGGUGAAGAAGUAUGUGGUGGUCCAUGGAGCUUCCAUUCACCAACCUGGAAAUGGCAUUCAUUUUAUUGGCCUUUGUUAUCUUUUCAUUAUUUACUGCGGCUUCCAUCUACACUAAUCCGGACGAGAGGAAUGAAGGGGAAGAACAGCAGAUAAAGAAAAAGAAAAUUAGAAAGUCUGGAAAGAAGAAAAGUUGUUCAGAGGAAGAGCACAAAAUUGAACCUAUUUAGGUUCUGAGCUGCCACCCUGAUGCCACAGCCACAG